UACGUAGGGGCUAGCGUUAUCCGGAAUUACUGGGCGUAAAGGGUGCGUAGGUGGUUUCUUAAGUCAGAGGUGAAAGGCUACGGCUCAACCGUAGUAAGCCUUUGAAACUGUAAGACUUGAGUGCUGGAGAGGAGAGUGGAAUUCCUAGUGUAGCGGUGAAAUGCGUAGAUAUUAGGAGGAACACCAGUUGCGAAGGCGGCUCUCUGGACUGUAACUGACGCUGAGGCACGAAAGCGUGGGGAGCAAACAGGAUUAGAUACCCCUGUAGUCCCUGAG
rnacentral:rRNA from 1 species